rnacentral:rRNA from 1 species
UUUCGCAAUGCCCGAAAGGGUGACGAAGCGACGCCGCGUGCGGGAAGAAGGCCUUCGGGUUGUAAACCGCUGUCGGGAGUUAAGAAAUGUAAGGAUGUUAAUAGCAUCUUUACUUGGCUAAGGCUCCGGAGGAAGCCACGGCUAACUCUGUGCCAGCAGCCGCGGUAAUACAGAGGCGGCAAGCGUUGUUCGGAAUUAUUGGGCGUAAAGAGCACGUAGGCGGCUAUGUAAGUCGGUUGUGAAAGCCUUCCGCUCAACGGGAGAACAGCAUCCGAUACUGCAUGGCUUGAGUGCGGGAGGGGAGAGUGGGACUUCUGGUGGAGCGGUGAAAUGCGUAGAUAUCAGAAGGAACGCCGGCGGCGAAAGCGGCUCUCUGGCCCAUAACUGACGCUGAGUGUGCGAAAGCUAGGGGAGCAAACGGGAUUAGAUACCCCGGUAGUCCUAGCCGUAAACGAUGGGCACUAAGUAGAGGGGUUUUAAUCUC